rnacentral:rRNA from 1 species
AGGAAUAUUGGACAAUGGAGGCAACUCUGAUCCAGCCAUCCCGCGUGCAGGAUGACGGCCCUAUGGGUUGUAAACUGCUUUUGUUAGGGAAGAACUCCCCGGAUUUAUCCGGGGCUGACGGUACCUUUCGAAUAAGCACCGGCUAACUCCGUGCCAGCAGCCGCGGUAAUACGGAGGGUGCAAGCGUUAUCCGGAAUUACUGGGUUUAAAGGGUGCGUAGGCGGCGCAUUAAGUCAGAGGUGAAAGGCCGUGGCUCAACCAUGGAAUUGCCUUUGAUACUGAAGUGCUUGAAUCAGGUUGAGGACAGCGGAAUGUGGCAUGUAGCGGUGAAAUGCAUAGAUAUGCCAUAGAACACCGAUUGCGAAGGCAGCUGUCUGGGCCUGGAUUGACGCUGAGGCACGAAAGCGUGGGGAGCGAA